GUGAAGUCGAGAGGAGCACAACCAUACCAUUUUCAGCUUGUAGAUGUAUUAGUGAGGUCCCAAGGAGCUUGGGAGUGCUUCGUUGGACAAAUUUGGACGUCGGGAAAGCUUGGUUCAAAGUUGGCCGAACUUGAAUCGUUGUUGAAGGUGAUACGUAUUCCGAGGACGAGCGUAUUCACUCGAGGCAAGGGGGCUACGACCCUUCCACUUAUCAGUGAGUGGGCUUUUGGUUUUCCGUAUAUACCUAUAUACGUUUAUAUUCCCAGAAAUUGGUUAGAAAAGAUUAAUUGUUUUAUGCCAUGCAUCAUAUGUUUGUCGUUCAUGCAUCAUUACAUGCAUUAGUAGUGGCAUGCAUUUAUAUAUAUGUGUAUUGGGUGCUAUGGAUGCACAGGUAAGUGCCAGGUAAAGGUUAUUCGUAUUUACA